rnacentral:lncRNA from 1 species
UUCACCUUCUUCCGCUUCCUGCUGCUACUCAACCUGCUGAGCCUGCUGCUCACCGCAAGCUUCGUGCUGCUGCCCCUGGUCUGGCUCCGCCCCCCUGACCCAGGCCCCACCCUGAACUUGACCCUCCAGUGCCCUGGUAGCCACCAGUCCCAGCCUGGCGUUUUGAGGUUCCACAAUCAACUUUGGCAUGUUUUGACUGGCAGGGCCUUCACCAACACCUAUCUCUUCUACGGUGCGUACCGAGUGGGGCCCGAGAGCAGCUCGGUGUACAGCAUCCGCCUGGCCUACCUCCUCAGCCCGCUGGCCUGCCUGCUCCUCUGCUUCUGUGGGACUCUGCGGCGGUGAGAGCGAAGCCCACACCUUCACCCCCUUCCCC